CUCCUGUGCCGGCAGGGCCUCCACACCGCUCAGCUGAACACAGCACAGAUGACCGAACGGAAACUCAUCUUUUUAGCAAAUACCUCGGCUUUCACCCAGUCAUCACUCCUGUGAGGAGAUAGGAAGCAACGACCGAAAGACAGGAAAAGAUAAUGACGCACCCGCGCCUACAUCAUUACAUCACGGGCCGGUCAGAGCUGGCUUAAGACAGAUUGAUUGUGAGAGAAGACUGGAGGGCGAGCAGAAACAGUGUGCCACGGCCAAACUCUUCCAGGAGGACCCUGGCUGCCUUGGAACACAGCCCUGUCAGAACUCUACCUUACAACGUUCAGCUCAUAGCUAGCUGUCGAAACCCGUCAUUCUGUGUGAGCAGUACCAACAGCAUCUCACACCCGGACUCUGCGCAUUUGCCAUCUUCAGCUCCAGCAGUUAUUUUCAAUACACCAAAUUCACCUUAAUACAACCUAACACAUCACUGAAGUCUGGCUAGCUUUUCUGAAUAACAUAAGGAAACUGAAAAAAGGAGAGCAGAGGGGGACGUACACCCAGGCACACAGCUUGAUGCUACUCCUGUGCUGGGAUGAAUAAUUGUGCUACCUAAGGUGUGACAGAGGACAUUUUUUCUCUUAUCUCUAUCUUUUCUCAGUCCUACUCUGCAACAACACGGUCGUUUGGUCUGCUGCAAGAGAACAUUACAUGGGCCUAGUGGCAAUGAAGAAAGAAAGGAACCGUCCCUCCUGCAGCCUAUCUUUACAUCAGUCUGACUGAUGACACCAUCAGUCAUAGGGCCCCGAGCCUGAAUUUUAAUGGAAUUGGAAUACUUAGAUAAACUUCUAAUAACAUUUUCAAAGGAAACAUUAAUCUCCUCAUAUACUUCUUAAAAUCUCACCAAGCACCUGCCUAAUCACUUCUAAAAUCCUUCUCUCAGAAACAGCUCAUCAGAAGGCACAGUGCUAAAGGAUACUCAAUUACGUUGCAUAUUUCUAUUCUGUUACACCACGUAACGAAUAUUUGAGAAAUACUAUGACUACAACUGCUACCACUACUACUAGCUUUCAAUCAUUCUCUGCACUUAGAGUUUAUAUGCAGAUUACGAUUUACUAUCUCCCGAUAAUCUCAGCCAGGCAGCCUAUGUUUUACCAGGUUUAUCCACAGAAAUUCCAAGGAUAGCAAGUGCCUUUUGGAGAAAGUUUGUCACCAAACAUAUUAACUUUGUUUCACCUCUACUUCACGAGGUUUCUGCCAAAAAGGAGAGCUUCACCGAUAAUUAAAUUGUAUCAAACACACAACUUAUUAUUUGCAUUAAAAUCACUGGAGUCAUUUUCUUUCUGGCCAUUACAAUGUUGCUCUAGCGUGGGAAAACACAAACAGCAUUUUCUGAAAGGAGAAGAGCAGUUCUGUCAGGAAGAACAUUUUUUUAAGGACACUUGAUUUCAUAAUUUCCUUCUUUCUGGUCUGGUAAAACAGUACUCAUCAACCUCUAUUCUCCAUGGCUUGUCUUCUUUCAAUAGAUGAGGUAUUAAACACACUUCCCACCGCAGCAUUAUUAAAUCUGGAUAUGCAGAUUGUUCAGCAGUCAUACAAAUAGGUUUGGGAAAGAUGCCUCAGGCAGAAAACAGCAUGUGACAGAAGGUAAGAAGUAUUUUUAAGAGGUCACCAUAACAGCGCAGAGCUCGGUAUACUUCUCCAAACCCAUCUGGGAUCAGGGCACUGGUUAGCCAUGGUUAUACAGCACUGGCAGCUGAUUUCCAUUGCUGAGAAAGGCACUUGGAUUUGAGCUGGGCCAAGUCAUUUCAGUCUACACAGCAGCGCAAGUGUGACAGUGCACCUGGACUGGCUGAACUGUGGCCUCCAAAGGGCAACUGAAUGGGGCAUCAAAAUGAUAGCAAUGGCUGAGCUGCUCAUCUGAUGCCCUGUCCCUAUUAAAGAGGAUACAAUCCUCCUGCCCCCCUUCUUUCCUGUUCGCCUGUGCUGCCAAGUGCUCAGCUGGCAUCGGUGGAUAGCUUGGGCAAAGCAGGCUUUGGGGCAGCUCUCCUUCCUCCUCUGCUCUCCAGCAGCAUAAGAGUAGUGUCUCAGCAGCCUGAGUGCCUACCCAAGGUUGGCUAAGUGUGACUAGCAGAGGUUCCCAUCACCAGCACUUUCAGGGGGAUGGGGAUGUGAGAAUGAUGGUUCCUUGAGCUGUUUAAAGCGGUUAAUGCUUGGGGGAAUUGGUCUGAUGCCACUCCCACAAAAGCGAUUCUUCCAUCUCCCAAUGGAAGCCAAAAGAAGAUACUCUGUGUCAGGAGUUGACCGGUCCUCAUCCCCAAGUAUCAAGAUUCUAUUUUGCCUACUCUGAAAAGAAGCUUUGAGCUGACACUGUACGGGUUGCACACCAACAUAAAGGAACUAAGUUGUGAAAGGUAUCCCAGAUAGAAAUUGCGAGGCUUUUCUAUACACAGUCUUCGGUGGGUCCAGCCAUUUGCUAAAAUGAACCCUUCAUGAGCUUGUCCUUGUACAGUCAAAAGCCUAUUUGGGACGUACCUUUGUUUCCUGACUCUCACUCAUGCAGAAGAACAAUUUCAUUCUAAUCUAGAAGUUCUUCCUAAACUGGCCUACCAUGAUUAAGUGGGAUUUAUAUAAAAUAAAUGUGGAACUGAUAAUUUUACAAGAUUAUUAUAUGUAUUUUCCUCUGUUGCAUUAAAUAAUACUUCUGCUUUAAA